GUGGGUAGAGCCCAGUGGUAAAGCACAUGCUUAACAUGCAUGAGGUCCUGGGUUCAAUUUCCAAUACUUCCA
rnacentral:tRNA from 1 species